GUGACGCAGACGCCUGAAAUAUUUCACAAUAUUUGAUCGGUUGUCAGGAUUCCAUAUCCCGUAAUGAGUGAUGGGUGCUAGCAAAUAUACAUUUCAUUACAAAAUAGGCACGUUGCCAAAGAUGCAAGCAGAGGAGAAUAGACAUCUAUUUUCUUAAGAUGAAGAAAUGCAGAUUGUCCUUAGAGCAGGGGUUUCUGCAGGAUUUGCAUCACAGAAAGUUAAAAGAACUGGGGAACAAGGUUCUAAAGCCCUUCAAAUGGAAUGUCUACUGACAAUUUCAAAUCACAGCAAGAUCCAAAUACAGGAUCAUGUUCUGUGCAGUUUCAACAA